ensembl:lncRNA
UGCAGCAGACACUGAUUAAGAUGGAGGGGUUGGGGUGGAGGCCAACACACCCUGCCCAGAUGGUGCAGAUGGCCCAGGGACCCAUGUUGCUGUAUAGCUGGAGCAGAGAGGUAGAGGACAGUGGAGUGAGGGGGAGAACACGAACCAGAGAACCAAGGUUAGGGUUAGACCAACACCUGGCUACUCCGCAGGGAGGAAGAAGAGGACGAAGCUCGCCCAGCCUCUCCCCUUGACAAACAGCAGCAGCUCUGACAGACGGAACGCUGUGCAUUCAGUGGUUCAGGGACCUUGUGCAUUUAGAGGGAAGUCAAAGUGGGGCGCGGUGGUAAUACAUGGGGACAGAGCCCAAUAUUUAGAGGGAAGUCAAAGUGGGGCGCGGUGGUAAUACAUGGGGACAGAGCCCAAUAUUUAGAGGGAAGUCAAAGUGGGGCGCGGUGGUAAUACAUGGGGACAGGGCCCAACAUUUAGAGGGGUGAGGUGGUAAUACAUGGGGACAGAGCCCAAUAUUUAGAGGGGUGAGGUGGUAAACCAUGGGGACAGAGCCCAACAUUUAGAGGGGUGAGGUGGUAAACCAUGGGGACAGGGCCCAACAUUUAGAGGGGUGAGGUGGUAAACCAUGGGGACAGAGCCCAACAUUUAGAGGGGCGCGGUGGUAAUACAUGGGGACAGGGUCCAACAUUUAGAGGGAAGUCAAAGAGGGGCGCGGUGGUAAACCAUGGGGACAGAGCCCAACCUGUCCCACGCCUCCCUCUAACGACCGCUAGAUGUGUGUGUGUUCUAAUCGCAUUUCAUUAGUG